rnacentral:rRNA from 1 species
UACAGGUGGACUAGCAGAGUAUGCUUAGGCGCUUGAGAGAAGUGUGCUGAAGGAACUAGGCAAUCUGCCCUCGUAACUUCGGAAGAAGAGGGCCCAACUCUUACGCAAGUAGGGGUUGGGGGCACAGAGCAGGGGGUGGCGACUGUUUAUUAAAAACACAGGACUCUGCGAAAUCCAAAGAUGACGUAUAGGGUCUGACGCCUGCCCGGUGCCGGAAGGUUAAGAGGAGAUGUGAAAGCGUCGAAUCGAAGCCCCGGUAAACGGCGGCCGUAACGAUAACGGUCCUAAGGUAGCGAAAUUCCUUGUCGGGUAAGUUCCGACCUGCACGAAAGGCGUAACGACUUCCCCACUGUCUCCAGCACAUGCUCAGCGAAAUUGAAUUCCCCGUGAAGAUGCGGGGUACCCGCGGUCAGACGGAAAGACCCCGUGCACCUUUACUGCAACUUUGCACUGGCAUUAGGGAUGGAUUGCGUAGGAUAGGUGGUAGGCUUUGAAGUCUAGGCUCUGGCUUAGAUGGAGCCGUCCUUGAAAUACCACCCUGUUUGUUCCUGAUGUCUAACCGCGGCUCGAAACAGGGUCCGGAACCAUGCAUGGUGGGCAGUUUGACUGGGGCGGUCGCCUCCCAAAGAGUAACGGAGGCGCGCGAUGGUAAGCUCAGGCCGGUCGGAAAUCGGCUGUUGAGUGCAAUGGCACAAGCUUGCCUGACUGCAAGGCUGACAAGCCAAGCAGAGACGAAAGUCGGUCAUAGUGAUCCGGUGGUCCCGCGUGGAAGGGCCAUCGCUCAACGGAUAAAAGGUACGCCGGGGAUAACAGGCUGAUGACCCCCAAGAGUCCAUAUCGACGGGGUCGUUUGGCACCUCGAUGUCGGCUCAUCACAUCCUGGGGCUGGAGCAGGUCCCAAGGGUAUGGCUGUUCGCCAUUUAAAGUGGUACGUGAGCUGGGUUUAGAACGUCGUGAGACAGUUCGGUCCCUAUCUGCCGUGGGUGUUCGAGACUUGAGAGGAUUUAUUCCUAGUACGAGAGGACCGGAAUGAACGCACCUCUGGUGGACCGGUUGUCGUGCCAACGGCACAGCCGGGUAGCUACGUGCGGAAUAGAUAACCGCUGAAAGCAUCUAAGCGGGAAACUAACCUCAAAACCAGGUCUCGCCGAGAGCCGUGGAAGACUACCACGUCGAUAGGCUGGGUGUGUAAGCGCAGUAAUGCGUUGAGCUUACCAGUCCUAAUCGCUCGAAAAA